CAACACUAAGAAGGGGAAAGCUGGUUAUUUGCUGGACAUUUCAGGUAGCAAGUACCUCAUUCUCAUGAUGUCUGACAGGGGAAAACCUGUAUAACCAUCAAACAUCCCCACUUUGGAUUUGCAGCAACCUCACAGUUCCCCUCCCUGUCCCCUGUGCAGCCUCCUUGCUCCCAUUCCCUCGUUAGUUCAUCUCUAAACCCUUCACAGGGCCGUUUGUCCCCCUCCCUUCUUCCCAUCUGACCUCGUCUGAGAUGAUGUCCUCACAUCACUCAGCCUUUCAGUCCAGUGCUUUUCCUGCUUCAUGAAUCCAGCCAUGUGGCUACAUGGUAUUUGACAGGCAGGCACAAGCUUCCUGCAGCCAUGUUCUGAGGGGUUCGGAAGCCAAGCACAGCAGAGCACUGAUCUUGAGCUCUGAGCUGGCAAAAGGAGAGGAGUCUCUCCAUCUAUGCCCAGCUAAUGUCUGUUGAAUGUAGCAAUACAGCUUCACUUGGCUCAAAGCCAAGGCUGGUUCCCAUCUGUAUUCAAAAGGCAACAUAGAUAUAUCUCAAGUGAUACAGUGUGCCCUGCCUUUCCCAGUUUCUUCUUCAGUUUCCUCUUCCCCUUUUUGCAGCUUGUGAUGGUUGGUAGCUGUGCAACAAGCACUGCAAGUGGCACUCUGGAAGGCCUGACCAUGUGAAUUUUCAAUGCCUCCAGCAACCAAAUCUGGAGGACUCAGUGAGAGGAGGCCUGCAAAAAGCAAGAAGCUGUUCCUUACCUUGAGAGACAACAGAGUCUGGAGACCAAUGCAAAACUCCAGCAUUUCAUCAUCUAAGAAGAGAGAAGAGAUUGAUCAGGCUCAAAACUAUGGAUACUGCCCCUCUAAAGAAAGUAUCCCUCUCCUACAAGAAGUGGAAUGUGAGAGCAUCUGGUUCAUUAAGUUAUAUGGUUAAGAUCUAUUUAUUAUAAAGUUAAUCACAAAUACAAAUGGAAGUGAUGAAUUAAACACACAAACAUUAACAAGAAGGUGGUAUCCGUGACAAAAACUAAAACCAGCACUCUUCUACCACUGACUGAUGAGCCAUUAAAGGAGCAACUUAGACAUAGCCCUGUAAAGGGUCAAAAUGGACUUUCUAACUGAUAAGAGGGAACUACCAUUAAUGUAAGUAUUAAAGAAUAUUUGAUGAGGCUUGUGGGAUUGUUUGAAACUCAUUAUGAGAUAUCAGAAAAGGCUUUUUGGUUCAUGUAAAACAUGCUAUGGGAUGUUUAGUGGAAGGGCCAAGGGUGGGAGAUGGUAGGAAUCAGGGUGAAUCAGGGAGGAACAAGAGUGGGAAAAUGGAGAGAGGGAUGCGGGGAUACAGGGGCGAGUCAUAUGUAAGCAGGCCAUCAGUCAGUUCACCUGUCUGACUGAGCCUGCCCCUGGUGACUGCAAUCUAUCCUAUCUUCUUAUUAGAUACCCUUUUUAAUAUAUAUAUAUAUAACUAUUUUAUGUGCAAGAGCUGGAAGUCUAAGUACCAGCAAGUUCAGAAGAGGCCGCAAGUCAAAGGGCCAAUAGGUCUAAAUGUCAGCAACUGCAAGAAAGAGAUGCAGCUCACAGGGCCCAUAGGUCCAGGUGUCAGCAACUAGGACACCAGUGUGUAAGAGAGGCCUGGGUGUAGUCCUAAGCUGGGAAAACAAGGGAACCUUGAAGAAAAUAGGGAGGCUUGUAGCCUGGUAGCUAGGGAAGGGAGCAUAGGCCUGGAUGCAAGCAACUGGAGAAGGGACUAUGGGUCACCGGGCCUGUAGAGCUAGGUGCCAGCAACUGGAGAGACUAUCAUGCAGGAGAGUUCAGGGUACCAGCUGUAACCAGGGUCACAGAAUUUUAUAAGCCAACAACUGGAGAGGGCAAGGCAUGUGUAUGAGAGGUCUAGAAGCCACUAACUAGAAAGACUUGGGUGUGUUUGUAUUUCCCCAGUUAAUUUAAUCUUGUACGCAUGUAUGUUUAUGUUUGUAAUUUGAUAGCACACUUAAAGCUGGUCUUGUCAGUCAGUAGGAAGAGGUCUAUGAUGCAUAUGCAGAGACUCUAGGUCUGAGUUAGUGUCUGCGUAAGGGGCCUAGGGCCCAGACACAGAUACAAAACACAUUUAGAAUCUGUGCUGAUAUUUGAAAAGUCUGUGAAUAAGUGUGCUUGUGAAUCGAGAGGCUUGAAGGUGUAUGAGUUUUUAUUAGUGACCUUCAAUCCUGAUCAGCCAGAGAGGAGGACCAGGACUGGGCUACCUAUACUGAUAUUUACAUUUAUGUGAGUGUUAGUAAAGACAACACUGUAUGGUAAUAUGUGG